CCUACGGGAGGCAGCAGUGAGGAAUAUUGGUCAAUGGCCGGAAGGCUGAACCAGCCAAGCCGCGUGAAGGACGAAGGUGCCAAGCAUUGUAAACUUCUUUUGUCAAGGGACAAAAUCAGGCUCGAGAGCCUGACUGAGGGUACUUUAAGAAAAAGCAUCGGCUAACUCCGUGCCAGCAGCCGCGGUAAUCCGGAGGAUGCGAUCGUUAUCCGGGUUUAUUGGGUUUAAAGGGUGCUUCGGCGGCCUUUUAAGUCAGCGGGGAAAUUCGGUGGCUCAACCAUAGAAUUUCCGUUGAAACUGGGGGGCGGGAGGAUGUUGGAGGCAGGCGGAAUGCGUGGUGUAGCGGUGAAAUGCUUAGAUAUAACGCAGAACACCGAUUGCGAAGGCAGCCUGCCAAGCAAUGACUGACGCUGAUGCACGAAAGCGUGGGGAUCAAACAGGAUUAGAUACCCCGGUAGUC
rnacentral:rRNA from 1 species